CAGCUUGUAAACAAAAAGCCGUUCCUCCGGUUCCUACACGGGAGACCCGAAUUCCUCGACUUGCGUUGGACGUGGCUACAUGGCACCGAAUGCUCUGCCGGAAAUACCAGCUCUUGGCAGUUGAAUAAGUAGGUUAGACAAAAUGUUGCGAUUAAUGGACCGAAGGAAAAAACUCUUACCCAACGGAAGGCUCGCAUCCCUCCUUAAACGCUACCGGAGAAAAAGAAAACAGCGCUCCCGGAGUUUCUUGGUUACGAAAUCAGUUAGCUUCCAAUGUCGCUGGAUCGGUGUUGCCGGAAGCAGUUGCAUGCAGACAUGCAGAUGGCGCCAAGCCAAUCUGAAGUUAUAAGGGAGAUGGUAUGUCUUCACAUCCGUCUUGCAUGCUCGGCUCAAAUACCGAAAGGCCGGAAGUUUCGCCACCAAUGGGAGCAACGAGGGAAGAUUUUAGCCAUCAUAUUUUGCCGGAUGUCUAGAAACGACUGAAACCACACUGAUUACGUAUGCUAACCAAGGCGGAAGGAGCCAGAGGAAUUGUGAAGCGGCAAAGAUAACAGCAGUCCAAUAUUACUCGACAGGUGCAAGCUCCAGUGGUAUGUGCCAAAUUUUACAGCGGUAAAAAUUGUAUAAGUUUUGCGUUGUUCAUGUUUUUUUUUAAUAUUUGGUACAGCGUGCAGGCGCAACUAAAAUUGAAUAAAAGUUGACAAAUUCGCAAACAUCAAGUCGGCCUACGAUUAUUUGCGAUUCAGCAUGCGAGAUAUAUGUAGCUGAAGUUAAAAGCAUAUAUAAAUAGUUGAAUCCAACCCCAUCGCCAAAACUGCAGGACACCAGUCAAAAAAAAUGACUCCAACUUAAAAACGGAAAACGAACGUUUAACCACUGAUCACAGUUUAACCGACUUUCAAAGAUGAAAUCCGAAACAAUGAAAAAGAGCAAUGUGCUACUCUGUUAAACUUCAUCUGGCUCUGUGCUAUAUUUUUGAAAUUAAUAUUUUAGGAAAUCUAAACAUAUCUACCUAUUGUUCUGACUGUUUCAUUAUCGAUAUCAAUUCUAUCUUACGAACUGAUAAGAGGUAGUAAAAAGGGUACGCCAAAGCACUGGUUUGAUCUAUUCAGGAUGUAUAGAAAUGCAACGCAAGGUGAUACUACAAUUGAGCUUCAAAAUUUUAGUUUUAUUAAUAGUCUCUGGUACUAUCACUCAUAAGAAUACAGACUAUCAAUUCUGGUUACCACACUUGUCAAAAUAUGACCAAUCAAAAACCUGACAAACUAAAUACUGAAAAGAAUCAGUUAACAAUACUGUAUUAUAUUAAGAUUGACAAUGAGGCUCUUGUUAAUGUAUAAAAGAAGUGAAGUUUGAUUUUUGUAGUACUCAGCAAGAAUAUCGAGCAAGGUCCUCUAUAGAUGGUUUUUUUUGGCCUGAGUUUUUCAAAAUUACAUAAUAUAGAAAAUAUUUGAAAUAGAAUUUAAAAGGCCAAAAACUCAUUUCAUUACUAAUAUACUGCAACGUUUAUUAUGAUGGGCCGAAAUGGGCUGAAAUGAUCGAGCCGUACUUUACUUUUCGGAAAUGAAUAACAUGCUCUCAUCUACAAACGAUUUGAUAAGUCCAGAUCAUAAUGCAGAUUCAAGUAUGAUAUGCUUGUUUUUUCAUAAGUACCUAUUCGAGAAUGCGAUGGGUUAGCAUUAAUAGAAAGUCCAUUGGUCUGUUUGUCAAAACACAGAGAUUGUUGUUUAAUAGCAAUUACAUUACAUUAUUGUACAUUUACUAAAUCAGAAGCAUUUAAGAAGAUUAUAUU